AGAGGAAGUAAAAGUCGUAACAAGGUUUCCGUAGGUGAACCUGCGGAAGGAUCAUUACCGAGUGAGGGCCCUUUGGGUCCAACCUCCCACCCGUGUUUAUUUUACCUUGUUGCUUCGGCGGGCCCGCCUUUACUGGCCGCCGGGGGGCUCACGCCCCCGGGCCCGCGCCCGCCGAAGACACCCCCGAACUCUGUCUGAAGAUUGAAGUCUGAGUGAAAAUAUAAAUUAUUUAAAACUUUCAACAACGGAUCUCUUGGUUCCGGCAUCGAUGAAGAACGCAGCGAAAUGCGAUACGUAAUGUGAAUUGCAAAUUCAGUGAAUCAUCGAGUCUUUGAACGCACAUUGCGCCCCCUGGUAUUCCGGGGGGCAUGCCUGUCCGAGCGUCAUUGCUGCCCUCAAGCCCGGCUUGUGUGUUGGGCCCCGUCCUCCGAUUCCGGGGGACGGGCCCGAAAGGCAGCGGCGGCACCGCGUCCGGUCCUCGAGCGUAUGGGGCUUUGUCACCCGCUCUGUAGGCCCGGCCGGCGCUUGCCGAUCAACCCAAAUUUUUAUCCAGGUUGACCUCGGAUCAGGUAGGGAUACCCGCUGAACUUAAGCAUAUCAAUA
rnacentral:rRNA from 1 species